rnacentral:rRNA from 1 species
GUGGGGAAUUUUGCGCAAUGGGCGAAAGCCUGACGCAGCAACGCCGCGUGAGUGAUGAAGGCUCUUGGGUCGUAAAGCUCUGACAGAGGGAAAGAAGUGCAUGGUGGCUAAUAUCCACUGUGCUUGACGGUACCCUCAAAGGAAGCACCGGCUAACUCCGUGCCAGCAGCCGCGGUAAUACGGAGGGUGCGAGCGUUGUUCGGAUUUAUUGGGCGUAAAGCGCGUGUAGGCGGUUUAUUAAGUCUGAUGUGAAAGCCCCGGGCUCAACCUGGGAAGUGCAUUGGAUACUGGUAGACUUGAAUACGGGAGAGGGCAGUGGAAUUCCUGGUGUAGGAGUGAAAUCCGUAGAUAUCAGGAGGAACACCGGUGGCGAAGGCGGCUGCCUGGACCGAUAUUGACGCUGAGACGCGAAAGCGUGGGUAGCAAACAGGAUUAGAUACCCUAGUAGUCC